CGUACACUCCUACGGGAGGCAGCAGUGGGGAAUAUUGCACAAUGGGCGGAAGCCUGAUGCAGCAACGCCGCGUGCGGGAUGACGGCCUUCGGGUUGUAAACCGCUUUCGCCUGUGACGAAGCGUGAGUGACGGUAAUGGGUAAAGAAGCACCGGCUAACUACGUGCCAGCAGCCGCGGUGAUACGUAGGGUGCGAGCGUUGUCCGGAUUUAUUGGGCGUAAAGGGCUCGUAGGUGGUUGAUCGCGUCGGAAGUGUAAUCUUGGGGCUUAACCCUGAGCGUGCUUUCGAUACGGGUUGACUUGAGGAAGGUAGGGGAGAAUGGAAUUCCUGGUGGAGCGGUGGAAUGCGCAGAUAUCAGGAGGAACACCAGUGGCGAAGGCGGUUCUCUGGGCCUUUCCUGACGCUGAGGAGCGAAAGCGUGGGGAGCGAACAGGCUUAGAUACCCCAGUAGUCCC
rnacentral:rRNA from 1 species